AUUGAACGCUGGCGGCAGGCCUAACACAUGCAAGUCGAGCGGAUGAAGGGAGCUUGCUCCUGGAUUCAGCGGCGGACGGGUGAGUAAUGCCUCGGAAUCUGCCUGGUAGUGGGGGAUAACGUCCGGAAACGGGCGCUAAUACCGCAUACGUCCUGAGGGAGAAAGUGGGGGAUCUUCGGACCUCACGCUAUCAGAUGGGCCUAUGUCGGAUUAGCUAGUUGGUGGGGUAAAGGCCUACCAAGGCGACGAUCCGUAACUGGUCUGAGAGGAUGAUCAGUCACACUGGAACUGAGACACGGUCCAGACUCCUACGGGAGGCAGCAGUGGGGAAUAUUGGACAAUGGGCGAAAGCCUGAUCCAGCCAUGCCGCGUGUGUGAAGAAGGUCUUCGGAUUGUAAAGCACUUUAAGUUGGGAGGAAGGGCAGUAAGUUAAUACCUUGCUGUUUUGACGUUACCAACAGAAUAAGCACCGGCUAACUUCGUG
rnacentral:rRNA from 1 species